CACGGGAAAAAACUCCACUCCUAUGGCAAGAAGGAAAAGGUCUCGUCUUUGACGGUUCAGAUCCUCAGGGACGCGCCGGCAGUGCGGAGGUGGCGGCGGUCUGGCCCCGGCUCCGGCUCCGGCCCAAGGAGUGGACGUCGGAGGCAGAGUCGAUGCCACCGUCGGACUCCUCGGCGAUGGGGUCGAGGCAGAGGGCCGCGGCGCGGCGUAGGAGCUGGCGCUGCCGGCGCACCACGUCCAGCGUGUCCGGCGGCGCGGGGUCGUCUGCCAAGGCGAGGGCGGUGCGGGCGGAGGUGGUGCAGGCGGCGAUCCUAGCGGCGGCCAUCGCCCUUCCUCUGGACUGGAUUGAUUGGCGUUGUUUUCCUGAAUACGGAUGGAUCGACACAGCCUCAGCUCAGCCCGUGGCGGCUUGCAGUUGCAGCUGUCAGCGGGCUUCUCCCUGGCUGAUGUGAAUUCCGCAACACUUUGCUCCGAGGGAAUAUAUAAUCUCACGGUCCGAGCACUCUUAUAUUUAUAGAAGAUAUACAGGGGAGAGGAGCCAGGCAAGGCAAGGCAAAGCAAAAUGAGUUGGAGAAGCAAGGAAGGAGAAAGGAAACUUCUUGAGGAUUUCAUUUCCUUUCCCUUUCCUUGUUGCUUGGACUGCCAUGUGUACGUUGGCUUGCUGCUCAAGGACAGUGAUACAUACAUAUGGACAGGGGAGGCCGUUGAAUCUAGGUGCGUGGAAAUGAAGCUGAACUUACAGCAAGAGAUUGUGUUCGGUCCUAAGUCUGAGGAUAAGUUCUAAUCGUUGGAUUUAAAUUAGAUAGAUGUUGGUUAAAUCUGAAAAUAAAACAAAAAGAAAUCAUACAUCUGUGAUUUAGCCAAAAAAAAAAUCUGUUGCUAUUUCCCGACCAAUCAUCAUGUUGUAUUCAUGUAUACUCAAGUCAUUUAGCAAGAGACCAAUGGUUUGAGCAUUAAGAUGAAUUUGUUGGUACUCAUUUGGCGUUAGCUUUCAAGGGCUCACCAGCUCAUGUACUCCUUUCUCGGUGUGAGAUUGUGUGUGGGCUAACAUCACUGUUGGGCUGUCGGUCCAUUAGGGUUAGGAUUUUGUGUCUAUGUGUAUAUAUAUAUAAC
rnacentral:misc_RNA from 1 species